rnacentral:lncRNA from 1 species
UGAACUUAAGUGGGUCCACCCAAAAAUCUGGGUCCUUAGUGAUGGCCCACAUGUUAACCAUGGCUGUUGUCCCAGCAGGCACGUGAUAUCCAUCGACAGUAGUGUCUGUGAUUGCUAAACGGGCCCACGAUAGAAGUGGACCAGGCGGGUGUAGCCUGAGGACCUCCUUCACCACCGCCGGCAGGUAAACCAUCGAUUGAAUGUCUGAUUCCAGCAACGCCCAUGAUUUCCCAACGACUUGAUCAAGUUCGGCCUGGACCCUUGAUUGGAUUUCAGGGUGAAGCACCAUUCUCGCUAGUAUCCACUCUAUUAAAACCGCCACAGUAUCGGUUC